rnacentral:lncRNA from 1 species
CUUCCUUGUAUGAAAUUGAAGCACGAUAUUUCCCUGACCCCUUCGUGGGACUCACAAAGGAGCUGUCUUGUUUACUGAGCCCGCAGCUCUCAAUUCCUUGAGGGAGGGAGCCCGUGAGCAAAUGAGGCAGGAACUGGAGUGCACGGGUGCUGGAACUAGCCAGCUGCUUCAGUGCCAGCAGGAGUGAACUCCACUCACUUGGAUCUGCUGUGCUCCACUCCUCACGGGAGGGAGCACAUAGGUGAGCAGGUGCAGGAGCCAGGGCGAGUGCUUUUGGGUACUGGCAGGAGUGAACUCUGUGCAGGCCCUGCGGCAGCAUUUGCAGGGGGGUGUGCCUGCAACCCCUGAAACCCCAGAGGGAGUGCUACAGUGCCCUUUUAGCUUUGCCUGCUGUACACAGACAACUUGAGUGCUAACAGCUCAGCAGGCCCUCUGCCUUUUCAUAUGAGGCGGCUGCCUUCUGCCAGAGAGGGCAAAGGGCAAGUGUGACAGCUUUUUUGUAUCCUCACUCAUGGCUCCCGAGCUCUUGCCCAGCAUCCAGGAGAAAUGAGGUCUCAUGAAUGAAUUGAAGGAUGGUAAAUGCAUGGAUUUUAUUGCCAAUGAAAGUGAUAAUCACCAAGAGAGGCAGCUGAAAAGGGGACAAGAUGGGAAGGUAAUCUUCCCCUGAAGUCUGGCAGUCUCCAGCCAGAUUCUUCUCCAAAGUUACGCCACCAAGCUGUCCUUCUGAAGUCAGGCUGCUUCUCUCUGAUGUCCAGCUAUAGUCCCUGACAUUCAGCUGCUUCUCCUCUCUCUGCCAGCUGAGGCUGAUGUUUUUAUAGGCACAGGAUGGGGGGCAGGGUGGGGCCAUGGGUGCUUUGGAAAAGGCAAGAUUCGAGCAGGGAAACAGCGGUGUAAGUUCUAACUUUGGGCCGCAGUCUCAGGCUUUUCAGCUUGAGAUGGGGCUUCACCAGGGACCUGCCCUUCUUCGCCUAGAAUUUCUCUGUUCCCAUCCCCAUCAAAAUGUCUAUGGCUAGGACCAGUCACAUGGCCACCCCAGACACUAUCAAGUGAGAAUGAAUUGAUAUGACUGUCUCGGACAAGCCAGGCUUGCUCCUCUGUGAUCAUCACAAAAACCAGAGUCCUGUGGGCAAUAAAAUAAGCUUAAAUUCAUGAAUUCACGACAAUACCAACAAAGAAACUCAAUUAGUGGCCAUUGCAGACUGCUAAUGACCAAC